GAAGGCAGCCAACCGGCGCGGCGGCUUCCGCUCCGCCCUGACGGAGGCGAGGACUCUGGCAGCGCCUGGGGUUCCGGCGGGUCUGCCGGCUGCGGGCCGCGAUGCUGAAGGCCAAGAUCCUCUUCGUGGGGCCCUGCGAGAGUGGAAAAACUGUUUUGGCCAACUUCCUGACAGAAUCUUCUGACAUCACCGAAUACAACCCAACCCAAGGAGUGAGGAUCCUGGAAUUUGAGAACCCACACGUUACCAGCAACGACAAAAGCACGGGGUGUGAAUUUGAGCUCUGGGACUGUGGUGGCGAUCCAAAGUUCGAGUCUUGCUGGCCAGCCCUGAUGAAGGACUCUCAUGGGGUGGUGGUCGUCUUCAAUGCUGACAUCCCAGGCCACCUGAAGGAAAUUGAGAUGUGGUAUUCCUGCUUCGUCCAGCAGCAGUUUUUACAGGACACUCAAUGUCUGUUAAUUGCACACCACAAACCAGGCUCUGGAAGUGACAAAGGAAACCUGGCUUUGGCACCACCCUUGAACAAGCUGAAGCUGGUGCACUCAAAUCUUGAGGAUGACCCAGAAGACAUCAGAAUGGAGUUCGUAAAGUAUUUAAGAAGCAUAAUCAACUCAGUGUCUGAGAGCAGAGACCGGGAGGAGAUGUCAAUUAUCACCUAACCGGCCUUCACCUAGACGCUUCCGCAUCCCAAAUGAAGUCAAUUUCAGUGCAGAUCUGAAAUCCAUCCACCUACUAAGGUUCUCAUCUCCCUUUGGCUGUAGAAGACAUUUUCCUUAUUUAGCCAAAGAUCUUGACUUCAGCCUUCCCCACCUGAUUCCUGAGAACUACAUGAAUAUCCUGGCCGUGGCGGAUGCUUUUGCAACAGACGUACUCUUUCCUCAGGCAAGAAAUGAAGGAUUCUACAUUUUAAAAACCAAAACCAAAGAAAUAAAUGAGGAAGAUGGAAACUCUGCUUUUGAAUGUUAAGAAGAAAUUACGUAUUUUUGACUGUGACUUCUAAACUGCUUUAUCAGUUAAACAAUUCUCUAUGUUUAUGAUCUGGGCCAUUCUUCCUACCGAAGUUAAAAGCUAAUGGAAAUGUGUCUGCCAAGUAUUCCCACUUCAAAAGGAAAGUUUCUUGGUGCUUUGAUGUGAGCAAUACCUCAUCUGUCUUCUUACACCGUACAGUUCACUCCUAUCUAGGCUUUCUGAUAGCCUUUAAAAGUAUGCCUCCUUUCUCUAAAGCCUCAGGCAGAUUCACUCCACACUUACAGCUCUUUGGACCAAGUGUAAUUAUAGAUCUUAGACUUUCAAAGUGUUGUGUAAAAACAAAAACAUCUAUUAAGACUGUUUAUAAUCCUACCGGAGUUUUGUGAUAAGUAAUUCAUACAAGAACCAUCGUGUUUUUGUUUUUUGUUUUAAUCUUUUGUGUGACUUUACAAGACCUGGAAAACACCUAGGUGUGAAUUAACCAGAUCAUGUAAUGAAAUAUUUUGUUCAGAGAAAUAAAAUCCUAAUUUUAUCAAAGUA